rnacentral:lncRNA from 1 species
GCCAUCCUGAGUUUCGCUGAGUUUCGUUUUCCCUGCGCCCCAGGAUCCUUAGUUUCAUAAUAAUUUUUAGUUUGUCUUUUUUCUUCAGUACUCUCUACUAUCCUCGUUCUCUCGUUCAAUCUCUCAACAUAAUUAGCUUCCUUUUAAGAAAAGAUGACGUGUCCAACCUCUGCUAUUGGAUUUGAAGGCUACGAAAAGAGGCUUGAAGUAUCAUUCUUCGAGCCUAGUGUUUUUGUUGACCCUAGGGGCAUGGGUCUCCGUGCUCUGUCAAAGGCACAAUUGGAUGAAAUUCUUACAUUAGCUGAGUGCACCAUUGUCGACUCUUUGUCAAAUGACUAUCUUGAUUCGUAUGUCCUUUCAGAGUCGAGCCUCUUCGUGUACCCAUACAAGUUCAUCAUCAAAACUUGCGGCACUACUAAGCUGCUUCUUUCAAUCCCAGCUCUGCUGAAGUUAGCUGAUUCGCUGUCUCUUACUGUGAAGUCUGUGAGGUACACUCGCGGCAGCUUUAUCUUUCCUGGUGCCCAGUCUUUUCCCCAUCGCAGCUUCUCUGAGGAAGUUGCUGUUCUCGAUGGCUAUUUGGCCAGGCUUGGCCUCAAUGGUUCUGCUUACGUGAUGGGAAGUCCUGAUGAAACGAGGAAAUGGCAUGUUUACGCUGCCUGUGCCAGUAUGGGGAAUCAAAGCAAUAACCCCGUUUAUACCCUGGAAAUGUGCAUGACUGGUUUAGACAAGGAGAAGGCGUCUGUCUUCUUCAAAACAGAUGCAAGUUCUGCUGCUGCAAUGACUGAAAACUCUGGUAUUAGGAAAAUUCUCCCAAAAUCUGAAAUAUGUGACUUUGAGUUCGACCCUUGUGGUUAUUCCAUGAAUGCCAUUGAAGGAGAUGCUGAGUCUACAAUCCAUGUUACUCCAGAAGAUGGGUUUAGUUAUGCAAGUUUUGAAGCAGCUGGUUAUGACUUCGAUGAUAUGAAUCUGUCUAAGUUGAUUGUGAGGGUGCUGGCAUGCUUCCAGCCAUCUGAUUUUUCUGUUGCCCUCCAUUCAGACGUUGUUGGUGAAAAUCUGGAAGACUUGCUCUGUCUGGAAUUGAAGGGGUACGAGGGUGGUGAGAAGAGCUGUGAAAUACUGGGGGAAAAUGGAACCGUCAUCUACCAGAGCUUUAUGAAGACUGAAGGAGAUUAUGCCUCAUCUCCAAGGUCGACCCUUUUGAAAUGUUGGAGUGAGGACGAGAAGGACGAGGAAGUUGGGAAGUAUUAGAACUUUCAUCAACUUUUACUCUAGCUAUUUUUUUUUUUAUCGUACUAGUAAUGAAUAAACGAAGAAGUAUCUUGGGGGGGUCUUGUUUAAGCUGCCUUGGGUGUGUUUAUGCAGCAUAUUAAAAGAGUCGUGUUCUUUCAUUAGUGUCUUGUUUUUCUUUUUCUUCGUUGUUGGAGUUAUAUUUCAUUCUGCAAAUAAUUCCCUGAUGGGAAAGCUUGUGUCCUUUAAUUCUGCCUGCUGUUGGUCUGCUUUUGCAUCGUAUUACGUUAUGAUGAAACUUAUCAAUCAUCUUUUCUUAUUUUAAUCAUGACUUGUUUGAAUAAAAUUUACUUUUGUUCUUUGCUUUAUUUAUGUGAUCAUGGGCAUCUGGAUGGUAUGCAGAUAGAUUUCAACCUUCUGUUUCUUUUUUGUUCUGCUUUGAUUAUUAUUAUUUAUUAUGAUUGGUGGAGGGUGCGGAAUAAUAGGCCAACUAUUGUGAAAAGUAGACAAUAAUGAGGAGACAAGGGAGGGAAGGAGUUAUUUGGCCAUCGAGUCUGCCAAAAAUUUGAGCAUUCCAAAACUUUGAAAGUUUCUUGGCUUUUUAGAUUCGAUGAAGUACAUCAAGUAUUGAUUAUGGUACAAGUUUUAGGGUGGAAGCUGUAUUUUGCUACAAAGGUAAAAUCAUCGUUAAUUGAUGAAUUGGAUAGAAAAGUGGUUUGAUAUGGCAAGAGGGACCUAGGUAAUGGAAUUAUGACUCGUUCUGAUGCAGAUGAAUGUUAGAAUUACUUUUCUCCUGGCCUACCCUAGACACUGAAUUUGAAUUUGUAGAGUGCUUCAACUCCAAAAGAUACCAUUGUAUGGCGAAUUAAUACCCUUGAAUAAUACACAUUUUGGAAGAAUUAGCCAAUAUUUAGGACCUCAAUAAAGAAAUUGGAGUCCUUUUGCUUGCAAGUCAGGGGAUUAAAAUGCAAAUAUGCACCCAGAAAAAGGUAACAUAAACCGACUUUUUUUUUUUUUUGGAAUCCAUUCCUGUUUUUACUAUUUUAGUUGUGUUUAGUAUUAGCAUAUUACUAAUGGCGAUCCACCAUAGGUUUGAAUAUGUUAUACUCUGUUUUUGUUGGGUGUUUGAAAUCUCACAUUUGUUUUCGAGUGGUUCCAAAAGCAAACUCAAGGAUUUAUCGGCGAUUAUCACACCAAAAAGAGGUUAGAGUUUUCAAGAUUAGAUUAACAAGGGAGGUGGGAUUAAGGAACUUGAAAGAAAAUGAGACUUGAGGAUUGACUAUAGAGAUAUUUGUGGACCAUUAACUUCCACCAAGUGGACCUCCAGCAGAUGGUCUCAUGUGUGCUUAUUAUCAAGUUGUAAUCUUGCUUAAAUAAUUAAGUUAAAAGCAUAGUUUUCUUAUUAUAUAAUUAAAAACAUUCGACUUGAUAAUGCUGGUAAUAAUUAUUGUAUGUCUAUUAAAAUAAAUGUCAAAUAACUUAUAGCUCAUGUUCAUACACAAAAUGAUUUAGCAUAACUAUUUAUAAAACGUUUGUAUUUACAUUGCUAGAGCAUUGCUUAUGAGAUCUAAACUCUCUACAUGGACAUUGCAAUUUUGCAUGUUGUGUCACUUGUGCAUAUUAUGCCAACAACUUAUUACAAGUAUUCACCAUUAUAGUUAACAUAUGACUAUGAGCAAAAUAUUUCUCAUUUGAGAAUAUUUGGAUGUGCAUGAUAUAUGUUCCAAUUGCUCCACCACAACGUACUAAUUAGAUGGAUACUCAAAUUAGGUUAGGAAUAUAUGUUGGAUUUGAUUCCUGGUCAAUUAUUAAAUAUCUCGAACUCCUUUACUACAUGAUUUGCUUGUUGUCAUUUUGAUGAGACAAAUUUUCUAACAUUAGGAGGAGGAAUUAAGAAGUUGAAAAAAGAAAUUUCAUGAAAUGUAUCAUUAUUGUCUCAUUUAGAGUCUCGUACAGAUGAACGUGAACUUGAAAUUCAAAAAAUAAUUCAUUUACAAAAUAUAGCACAUUAGUUAUCAAAUGCAUUUGUAGAUGUAAAGAAAGUUACUAAAUCAAUAUAACAAUUGCAAAUGUACCAUAAAAAAUUGAGAUCCCAACACAACAAGUUGUCAUUAAUGAGCCAAAAACAUAGUAGACUGGUAGGUUCUAAAGAUAAAAACCCUAAAAAAAAUUGAGUGAAUAACUCGAUUAAGAUAUGGAUGUUCUAGAAGAAAUCUGAAAUUUGAGUUAUAACAAAAAUGUCAAAGAAGAUAAAACAAUUGAAGAUAAUAAUGAGAUUUUGAUAAACUAUGUCAUGAUAAGAAAAAUAUGGAACCGAACUAAUAUAGUUGUUGACAACAUAUUUGCAUAUAACAUUGUUGUUGAUAUUAUAUUCGUAAAUGAAAAUCUUGUACUUGAAGAAUGUCGACAAAGAAAAAAUUGGUAUUUGUGGAAAGAAACAAUUAAGCCAGAAUUAAAUUCACUUUCAAAACGUCAAGUUUUUGGAUUAGUAGUCCAAACACCAGAAGAUGUUAAACCUGUGCGAUAUAAAUGGGUAUUUGCGAGAAAAAGAAAUGAAGAUAAUGAGAUCAUAAAAUAUAUAAAACAAGAUUAGUUGCGCAACAUUUUGCAAAAAGACUUAGUGUUGAUUAUGAGGAGACAUAUUCCGUGGCAAUGGAUGCAAUCACAUUAAGAUUUUUAAUUGGUCUGACUCUGUAUGAAAAUCUGGACACACAUCUUAUGAAUGUAGUCACAACAUAUUUAUAUGCAUCACUUGAUAAUGGUAUUUAUAUGAAAAUCUCACAAGGAUUUAAGAUAGCUGAAACAUAUAAAUCAAGUUCUUGUAAAUCAUUAUAUGGAUUAAAAAAAUCAAGAAAAAUGUGAUACAAUCGUGAGUGAAUGUUUGUUGAAAGAUAUCAAAGUAAUCCAAUAUUUUCAUAUGCUUUUAUAAAGAAAUCACUAUCUGGAUUUGUUAUUAUAACUAUAUAUGUUGAUGAUUUAAAUGUAAUUGAAAUUCGUGAAGAGCUUUCAAAGGCAAUAAAGUAUCCUAAGAAAGAAUUUGAAAUGAAAGAUCUCGAAAAAAAUAAAAUUCUGCCUUGGGUUAUAAAUUAAACAUUUAGCAGAUGAGAUCUUUGUUCAUAAAUAAUCUUAAACAAUAUUUAAAAAAAAAAAAUUAUAUGGAUAAAGCAUUCAUUGAAUAUUCCAAUGCAAGUUUGUUCACAAUAGAUGUGAAGAAAUAUAUAUUUCGACCACAAGAUGAUAAUGAAGAACUCUUAGGUUCAGAAGUACCAUAUCUUAGUGCAAUUGGUGCACUUAUAGAUUUUGCUAAUAAUACAAGACCUGAUACAUUUUCAGUAAAUUUAUUAGUUAGAUACAAUUCCUCUCCAAAAAAAAAAACAUUUGAAUGAAAUUAAACGUAUAUUUUUGUUAUCUUCGAGAAAUAAUUGAUAUGAAACUAUUUUAUUAAAAUAAAUCAAAUUUUAACCUAGUUCGUGUUGUAGAUUAUGGAUAUUUAUUUGAUGCAUACAAAACUAGUUCUCAAACAAGUUAUCGAUUCACAUGUGAGAGGAACUGAUAUAUCUUAGCUAUUAGUAAAACAACCCAUAAUACCCACCUCCUCAAACCAUGCUAUAAUUCUUGCAAUUCAUGAUGGCUAACCGAGAAUGUAUAUGGUUAAGAUCGAUGACUUAAUACAUUCAGAAAUAAUGUGGUUUGUCUUAUAAUAAACUUCUUUCAACAAUCUUAUACGAAAACAACACGACAUGUGUAACUCAAAUAAAAGGAGGUUAUAUUAAAGACAUAAAACAAAACAUAUUUCACCGAAACUUUUCUAUACUCAUGAUCUUGAAGAAAAUAACAACAUCACGGUAGAUAAUUUGACAAACUUAUUUACAAAAUCAUUAUCUACUGUAACCUUUGAAAAAUUGGUGCACAAUAUUGAAAUUGCAGAGACUCAAAGAUCUGAGGUGAUAUUUCCACAAGGAGUAAAUUAUAUUUUUGUAAGUGUAUACGUUAUAUAAAAUAUAUACUAUUUUUCCUUCAUUAUGAUUAUUUUCCACUGAGUUUUUCCAUAUUAAGGUUUUAAUGAGACAUAUUUCAUAUAUGUAAUGGGCAUUUAAGGAAAGAGAUGCUCAUUAUCGAAUCAAGUUUAGUGUCUAUAGCCACUUGUCACUUUCUAAAUUAUCUCACCCACUUGACAUGUGUAUUGAAGAUCUCUUAGUGGUGAAGUAAUCCACCACCUACUCGUCACUUUUCCUACGAAUAGAGAGGUUAGAGAGGUGGUGGAUUUGAUAUAGGAUAGAAUUCCAAAGUUGGAGAAAGUGGAGAAAUUUGACAACUUUCUUAAUAUCCAAUUUUCAUAAUUUCUUUAUUUUCUUAAUUAUUUAUAUAUUAUAUUUUAUCAGUUUCUGGGUUGGGCCUUCUACCAAUUCGAUUAAGAAUAUUAAAUAAUGGGCUGGGCUGGGCUGGUUUUGUACUCGUAUACCCGACCCGACCCAUCUUAUCCACAUUCCAUUAAGAAGAAAUGCAUAUUGCACCUUCUUCUUCUUCUUCUUCUUCUUUCUCUCCAUCUCCGAACGCACUCUCUAUGAUGUUAUCCAUGGCAGUUCAACUUCAGCCCAAUGUUAAUUUCUGUUUCAAUACCUCCAAUUUCACUGCCCAAACCGCUUCAAAACCGUUCAAACUUCCUUUUGCUGUGAGGCAAAGAACCACCGCUUCUUCCUGCAUUCCCAACUUCCAUACUGUUUUUGGCUUGCAAUUGAGGCGCCAGAACUUCAGAACUCAAGAAAUCUCUGCUUCUGCUGCGCCCAUUGAAGCUGUCGAAGCUGCUUCAGAAUUGCUUGUUGCUGAUGAUUCCGACUCCGUCUCUUCUCCUGUUAAGGAGGUCUCUCUCUCUCUCUUCCUCCCUUUCUAUCUCGUCUGAUUGCUCCGUUUAGUUUCGUUCGUUUUCAGCAAGUUGAAAAAUGAAUCCUUGUUUUUUCUGCUGGAUGGAGAUCGUCUGAUAUUUGGGGGAGAGCUACCGAAAGUUUGGUAAACAAACAGUACUGUCGUUUCUUAGUUAGUUGAGAGGGGCGGAUUUAUUGGUGAAUUUGGUUACUUGAAAGCUCGUUCUAUUUCUAAAUUUUUUUUGUUUCUUUUUUUAAAAUGUUCUUGCUUUCAUUUCAGUUUUUGGUUCUUUUCAAAGAAACUGCUUGAAUUCAUUGAGAUCCUAUAGCUUACUGUGGCUAUGUAUUGUACAUUGUUUGUUUGAUCGAGUAGUGUUGUUUUCGCUAUGAACACAUGGUAGAAAUUCUGGUAUAACGAAUUACUAAUACUUUGUGAGUAACUUGGAAGAUAGGUUCUAACAAGAAUGUUGAUGUUGAUUUUCAUGGAUCCCUAAAAGUUUAUAAUUUGAAAUGAACGUAUUGAAGAAGAUCAAUUCUCACACAGUAGUUAAAUGAUUGACGCAGCAUUAACAUUUAAUUGUUAAUUUUAUUAAUUCCAAAUUGAAGUUUGAAUAAGUAAUGAAUUAAUACUCCUUGUUGGCUGAAUUGCUAUUUUCUCUAGGUUUCUGGUUAUAUCUGUGUUAUUGUGAUUUGAAUUGGGACGUGGUUGGUUUUUUGAAUGCUCAUUUUAUUAUUGCCUUGCCUUGAGCAUUUAUUUAGGUUUGGUUUUGGUUUUUUGUUGUUAGGUUUGAGCACUGCUUUAAUUGUUAAACUUUAUCACUUUGUGGCUGGAUUUGGAUGUCUCCAAGUUUUGGAUAUUGUAUUUGGAAUUUGAUUUUUUUAGCUAAAUUUAAGUGAUAUUUUGCUGCUUUUCGAACAAUACUCUAGUUUCGUUUUGUGAGAUUUCAAUUUCAUCAAUAUUUCAGUUUAAAUUUCAAUUCGAUAAAGUUAUAACUUAGCCUCUUAGGCUAGUAUAUGUAGUUCUUUUCUUUUCUUUUCCCCUCCCUUUGUCCAUACCUUAUGGGGAUGCUUUUUGCUUGCUGAUUAACCUAGGUUUAGUUUGGAUUUGCGUAAUCUACCCCUAGAAUUUGUAAAGGAAUGAGUUGUAGAAAUCUUGGUAUGUGUAAAAUAUGUUUUGUUUAAGUUCAACUAUAAACCUGUGGUUUCAUUUUGUUAUAUGUAUGUAACCUUUGUUGUUGUAGCUUGUGGAAUUAGCUAACUGUUGACCUGUGGGAUAAGAAUCGUAAUUUGGAUAAAUAAGCUCAUGUACUAAAGUUUAGUCAUACCUCUUUGCUAUCUUAACAUUCAGCUACACAAAUCCAACUUGUGUGCUAAUCAAGUCCUAAAGAUAUCUUUUAUGUUACACUAAAUAAUUUCUAGAACAACUCUAAGCAUAUGUAGUUUCUUAACAAGUAUUUACUAUAAACAAACUCAUACUUUCCCCACUUGGCUUUACUUUAACCAUAUUAGGAGUCUUAGAGGUAAUCUCCCUCCCUUUGAUAAGAUGAUAUCAACAUCAAAUACUGAAACGGACUGUACAACAGUGAAAAUCUUUUGAUUCUCAUUAUUUUUGUGAAACACAAUUAAACAAGUACUGGUAUUUUGAUUUUAUAGUUUCCUUUUGCUUUUACAAAUGAAAACUUGAGCAAAAUAGAUUUAUCAGGAAGCCCUUCUCUGGCAAAUUAUACAUUUUGACGAUUCAUUUUUUAAUGUUAUAGAAACUGGGAGUGGUUGUGAAACCGAUGGAAAAGCCAAGGCUUGUGCUAAAGUUUAUAUGGAUGGAGAAGAACAUUGGUAUUGCACUUGAUCAAAUGAUUCCUGGUCAUGGAACUAUUCCUCUUAGCCCGUACUACUUUUGGCCUCGGAAAGAUGCAUGGGAAGAACUCAAAGUCUUACUUGAGAGCAAGCCCUGGAUUUCUCAAAAGCAGAUGAUUAUUCUCCUUAAUCAGGCAACUGACAUCAUCAAUUUGUGGCAGCAGGGUGGAGGCAACCUGGCUUAAGCUCCAAUGUAAAAAGUUUCAAAUUUUUUUGAUAGUGGUCUUAGAUUGUGACUAUUCUUGAAUCGUACGGCUGUUCAGAUGUCCUUUUUCGUAUAUUCUGAAGUAAUUUUAUAAUUUAUAAAUGACUCAUCUUUUGUUGUAUAUUAUGUUGGUUGUGUAACCCAUCUACAGUUCACAUUUUCCGUUGAAAGUUUUGUUCAUAUUCAAUAUGAAAACCUAUUAUUUUAUGCAUUUAGCUGGGGAAGUUUCUGAGAAGUUUAAGGAUAAUUACAUGAAACAUUUAAGCUUUUUUGUUGUAAUAAUUUGAAGCUGAAAUGUUAUGUUUAGCUCAUAGUUUAAACAUGUCUGGGUUUCUAAAGCCUGAAGUUGGGAAAUAAAAAAGGUUAUUUUCUAAAGCAAAUAUUUGUGUAACAAAUUUGUAGGAUUAACAGAUCCAUAAUUGUUAAUCCCAUAAUCUGGUAUAAAUAACUCACACAUCAAAUAUAAGUUUGACUCCUAACCUGAAGUAGAAGUUACAUAAACCUCAACCUUUAAAGACACUUGUCUUGUAAGCUUUCUUCCUUCAAGUAAAUUUUGCUUUUUGUUUUUGUCUUGUUUUGUAUUUUUGUUCAUUUUUCAUUUGUAUACAAGAUUUUGUUAGAAUACUGAAUUUAAGAGAACUUGGCAAUAUCGAAAAUUUCUUUGCUAUCUAUCCUAGUAUUAGUUACAUUAUUUUCAACCAUAUAAAUGUAUUGUACUCGAAUAACAAUCUCUGAAAAUAUAAUAAUGUUUACAUGUCUGUCCUAGCAAAAUUGUUCGUACCCUUUUAUUGAGAAAUAAGAAACUACUGAUCGUAUACUGGGUCCAAAAGUUUCACUACACGUUUCCUUCCAAUCUAGAUGUGACUAGCCAAUAAAUUUACUUUGAUUCGUGAACUCUUAUAUCUUCUUCUGAAAUUUCUUUUCCACUGGCAACUUCAUUAUCUGUAUUGGUUAUCUUGUCGCCGUCUGACUCGUUGUAGAAGAUUGAAUUUGGUUUUGAUGAUUGCUCCUUCAUAUUGUUAACAUCUGAAUCUUUUAGAGCAAAGGAUGUGCUUUCUUUGGCAGGUUCUUUUGGUAACUCUUCUUGAUUGGUUUCUUCCAUGUCAGCAUCUUCAUAUUGAGAACUGCAACUUUCAAGUUCAACAGGACAAAUCUUUUCAAAACUAAAUCUGUCGUCUGAAUAGUCAAUCUUACAGGAAGAUAUUCUUUCUUCUUUUGUAUUAAGCUUAGGUUCAUAAGAACUAUUCAAAUCUGAGCCUUUUCCAUUCUUUUGUAGAUGAGAGCCAUCUUCAUGAUCUGAAUCAAUAUCCUGUGAUUUGGACUUUGAAAGGUUGAUUGCAGCUUUAGCUGCUAAUGCUGCAUAAGCUGCCGAUUGGAAGGGUUCUUCAGUGGCACUAGCUACAUCUUUAAACUUCUUUGAUUUCACUAAUUCCGAUGCCAUCUUUUCACUUGUAAUAACUUCAUGUAGAUCAUCUGUGGUGUUUGUGACUUCAGGAUUAUACAAAUCUGCUUCUUUCUUGAUUUCCAACUUUUGGUUUUGCUUUGCCUGCAGUUAACAGAUGAAUUUUUUACUAAAAAGUUAACUUAGGAAGUAGAAGCACUCAUUUUCUAUCAAGGUGAGGAACAUACGGCUCUUUGGUGACACUUUUUCCUCUUCUAAUCGCUUUUUCUUAGUUUAAAAUAAAGCACCUUUCCAUUCAAGCUUAUAUUUUUUAGUUAGCAAUUGGCGCUCCCUUAUGUAAUCACCUUUUUUGAUGUUUGGGGCUCUUCACUAUCAUAUGAAUGAAAUGUUUCUUUUCAUUAUAAUUAAAAAAAAAAAAAAGAUAUUUCCUCACCUUGAUGAUUAUUGGUGAUUCUUGCUCUAAAUGGAGAGGAAUGCCAUUUUCUGAAGCAAUUUCCUUUAGCACUUUCAGUUUAGUUUCGGCACUGGGCUGUUUUGUUGAAAACUUUUGAAUCAUCUGUAAUAUGGAAACUGUGGUUAUUAAGUGGAGAUUAUAUAUUCGAACAACUAAUUCGUUUCUUGCAGUUGGUAAGUAUCAAACUCACCUUGGUACUAACACCACAGUUGUUGCGUAAAUCAAUGGCACUGCUUGCAAACUCCGCACCAAACUUCAACUCGAAAAUCCGACGAAUCUCUUGAAGUUCUGGAAACUCUCCGCACCUUGAAGCUGCAAAUAUCAGACUCGAUAUCGCCUCCUUAACUUCGCCAGGGCAUUCCCUGCAUUUAAGCCGAAAGAGAAUCAGAAAAGGUUUCAAAUCUUUUAAAAGGCCUGCAUCCAAAGUUGACAAAAAUGACAUAGUGAAAUUCUAGGAAAGAAAGGUGACCUACUUGUUCAUCUGAAGAAGAGCCACCUUUUCUACGAGAAGGCAGCAGUAAUCCUCUAUCAUUCCAAGAGCAUCCAACAUGUUAUUCUCCUUGAUCACAAUCUCAACCUGUUCAUUAACGUUCACAUCCAAGCUCAGCGGUUGGAAAAAAAGAAAAAAAUGAGAAGGGGCUGAACUAUAGAGUUCUGAAAGAGAGAGAGAAAAAAUUUACUCUAAGCUGAGCACGAUGUUGGUAACUAAGAUUCAACAGUUGAAGAACAUCGGCACGAGCUAGGGAGCAACGGGCGCGGUGGUGGUUUUUUAGGAUGGAAGUCCUAGAAAUGGCCAUAUUAGCAAGGGUCUUAAACUUGGAAGCCUUCAAAUAUCUAUUCCUUCCCAGUAAAGCAUCCAGUUUCCUUCCCAUGAUGGAAAAACCUUAAAUUCUGUUUGCUGCUUGUUUGCCUGUGAAAAGCUCUUGAAUGAACUACUUUUUGGUUGUUGGUUGCGGACAUUGCCUGUGUUUUAUAGGGAAGAUGCAUGAUUAACUAUUUUACCAACAUUCACAUGCAUAAUUUAUUUAUUUUUUCCUUAAAGCAGGUCAGAGAAUUGGCUCCCAUUAUUGACUUUGAAAUAGGCGUUGAUUAGUGAAAUUUCCAGGCUUUGAAUGGUUCAAACAGAAUUGACUAUGGAGGUAUUAGCAGGCGGCUUUGGUCUGGAAAAUGACAUUACUUGGAAAUGGGAAGCUUCUGAGGUAUUAUGUCCACUUCUAGUCAUUAUGAAUUACUUCUCCUUUAAUCAACUCAUUUAAUUGGUGAAAGGUGCUUUCUUUUUUCAAAUACUUUUUGUUCUGCAAAAACGUUCAAAUAGAAUUAUUCAGUUUUCUGUUAUAUUUUGUUGUUAUGUGCGUUGAAUGGGUUUUAAAAGAAAUAUUUAAUUAGUUGAGUUUGGGAGUGAUUUCAGUAUAAAAUCAUUUUUGUCAUGUCUUUCUCUAAAAUUGUGAUCUUUGAUUAUCAUGAAAAAGUGAUUUCGGAUCAAUCACUCUAAAGGUGGUUUUUGUUGUGGGAAUGUCACUUGUGAGUGAUUUCUUUUUUUUACAAAGACUAUUAUUUUAUAUUGAAAAAAUAUUCUCCUAUUUCACUUUAUUUUGUACUAAAAUUUUUAGAAUAUAUAAUAGAUCUAUUUUGUUAAAAUUUCUAUUAUCUUACCAACACUCUUAAACAUUGCUUUCUAUUGAUCGUCAACAAAAGUUUUACUUAAAGUGACAUUUAUUUGUACCCAAUUGAGAAAUGGGCCCAAUUCGGGUAUCCCACACGGAAAACAUUCUGUCUUUUAUUGUCAGGGCUUGUUCCUAUACAACAAAUAAAAAGAAAAAGGCAGGCAAAUUUCCCUAUUCACAAAUCCAUUGAAAAAAAAUAAAGGUGAGAUGAUAUUGACUGGCUUGUAAUAUGAUAAGAUUCAAUGGGUUUAAAAAUUGAAGUUUUCUUGCAAAAGAAAUGUUCAUUUGAGAGAAAAUUGUUCAUGAUUUUGUCGAAGUCUACGUCUUUGAUUUUGUAAAACCCAUUUUCGUACUAGAUGUAGUAGAAAGAUUUGACCACUUUGCAAAUCUCCACUUCCACUUUCUGUUUGAGUGUGACUGUAGAACUUGUUGGAAAUUGGCUGAAGAAGAUUCUUAAAAGAACAGUGGAAGGACGGAGCGAGAAGAGAGAGAAGGGAGAUACAACAAACCUCCUUUCUGGGUGUGUAAAUUCUCAACCAAAUCUGUUUAAUUCAAAGAACCAUGUUUCAUACCCAAAUUACAAUGAGUUUUAAUCCUAUUUUAAGCUACAAAACUUACCUUAGCCACUCAUGACGUGCUGAGAUGACUGUCACACCCUUCAAAUUCACCUACUUAAAUUGAGAUGAGAUGCAACUAGCAAGAGAAGUGUCAACAAGGUGACACUCCACACCAAGAACGCAACUUGAAUGAUUCAAGGCAUAAUUUUCCUACUCCCUGCUUAGCUUAUCACUUAGAUGCUUUUAGCACAUUUGAAAAUUUAAGUUGAAUGCUAAAAAUGCUCAAUGUGAUGGAUAACAAUGAAUGCACAAAAACUUCUCAUUUUAUUUACUCAAACACCCGUUUCAACUCUACAACUUGACACUAAAUUUUAACUUAUUACAAUACGGUUGCUUCUUGUCAUUCGUCAGCUUACCUCUACCCCUACAAGUUAUGCUAGGUGUUUGUUAACUUUCUAUUAGAGUUCGGUAAAAAAGUACCGCAUAACUAUAAUGCUCCCGAAUACACGUUAUUAAGUGAUCCCGUAGAAACACAUUUGGGCUCUUGGUGAACACGAAGGAAACAUCCUAAGAGAGUCGGGCUGACUCUGUCGAAUCACUCAUAAAAUCUAGCCACACAUGCAUAAGUAGGUGGUGAUUUCGAGAGACACCCAUAUGGUACGACUCUAACCGACAAAGUUAAUAGAACAACAUAGCCUAUACAUGUAGCAUAUCAUAAAUAUCAUAUCUCAUCAUAAUGUAUCUCAAUCAUUGGAUAUCUCAAUCAUAACAUAUCUUAUUAAUAAGAUAUCAUGGUCAUCACAUAUCCCAGUCGUGUGUAUCUCGGUGUCUAUGUAGUCAUCAAUAUCAGUCAUCCCUAAUAGUCACAUCAUGCAUCAUAGUUACGAUAAUGCAUAAUAAGGUAAAACAUACAUGCCCGGCCUUUAUUCUAAUGCUGGGUCAAAAUAAUCCUGCAAUCAAAGCAGGUCCUAAAUAGUAAAAGAAACUAAAAUUAAUAAAAUUAUCGAUUGGUUAUUGAACCCAAAAUCAACUCAAUUCAACUUACCCAAAGUUGAGGUUGAAUUCCCGUUCAACCAUGGUUAAGGAGAAAUUCGUGGAAGUUAAUUCUUUUAAUUUAGCCUAUUACCCUUCAAGCAAAAAAAAUCCAAAUCAACUUAAUUAAGGUCCAAAAAUAUAACAAUUGACGUGUAUAUCUGACACCAUCAAAACUCACCCCGAAUGGCUCAAUAUAGGUGAAGAGUGGGCAAAAUGGUGCAAAGUAGCUCGACUUGUUCGGAUGGCUCAACCUGGAUGGAAGGAUGGCUCAGAUGGUGGCUCAGACGUGAGAAGAUCGACUCGAGUGAAGAAAGAAUGGAGACUCUUCGGCUUCACGAUGGCGGAGAGUCGCGGCGAAGAUCCACACGUUGGAUCGAAGGAAACUUGGCUGGAGGCUUCGCUGGGUGGAAUGCGACGGCGGAAGAAAGAUGGAGCUUAGCGGCGACAGUGGCGCACAACGGCUCGCGAGCCAAAGAUGAACGCGCGAAGACUAGCUUCGUUUGUGCUUGGACGGUGGUGAACAUAGUCUGUGGUGGUGCGACCUUUAAUGGAGAUCGGUGAACGGAGAAGAAAAGGGCGACAACUAGGUUUUCAAGAGAAGGAAGAUCAUAUAGUUUCCUUCUUUUGUUUGCACUAGUAGGGGUGAAAUCCGGUUGGGUUGAUAGACAUUCUCAACUCAACCCAUAUUUUCGGGUUAUUUUGGUUGGCAACCAACUCGAAUAAUCUGAUUUCCAACCAAACCGGUUGUAUUUGUUUUUUUUUUCCUUCUCUUGUUUCUAGUUACAUUUAAAUUGGAUUGUAUAAGCUUGUUACAUUUAAAUCGGGUUGUAUAAGUUUGUUACAUUUAAAUCGGGUUAUAUAAGUUUGUUACAUUUAAAUUUCAAACAUACAUAAUUCAAAAUUUUAUAGAACAAAAUCAAGGUAAGCAUUUAUAAGUUCAAAGUUACAAACACAAAUAAAUUCAAAAUUACAAAUAUAAAUAAAUUCAAAAUUACAAACACAAAUAAAUUCAAAGUUCUUAAUAUACAUAAAUCCAAAUAGUAUUUAUCCUUCAAAUGUAGUCCAAAUUUGAUUGACAAUAUCAUCUCUUACUCGGGCCAUUUCUCUUAGAUGAUGCCGACUCACAUCUAAUUCAAUUAUAUUAAUUUGCAAAUUGACUCACAAAUUUUGUGUAUUUUCAACGAUCAAUGAUUCAUUACUAAAGUCAUUGAAUAGGUCAUCUUGACGAUCAUUCAUUCAAAUAUAAUUCUUAAUUAUGCAACAUGCUAUUGAUAUAUAUUUUUGUGUCUUUAUCGAAUACAAAGUCAUUUACUUAAGAAUAGAAAAUCGAGCCUUCAACACACCAAACCAACGUUCAAUGACAUUUCGAAGUGUAGAAUGUCGAUAGUUAAACAAAUAAAAGUAAUUGAAAAAAAAAGGAAAAAAAUCCAAUAAAAAUAAUUGAGAAAAUGAAACAAAUGAAACAAAUAGAAAUAAUUAAGAAACGGAACAAAAGAUAAACUUUUUUUUUUUGUUCCUAUUAAUUCCUUAUCAAAUAGAAAAUAUUUCUAUUUUUUUUAGAACGAAAAACAUGGAACGUUACCAAACACUCCGUUUCUGAAAAAAUGAAAACAUAAACAGAAAAAGGAGAACGGAGAACGAAAACGUUACCAAACGGGUCCUAAUAAAUUACUUAUUAUUACUGAUAGAUACUAAUAGACUCUAAUAUUAAAAUUGUUUUCAAUAGAUGUCUAUUAAUGUCUAUUAUGAAAUUAUGAAAUAUUUAUAAAUAUUUUCAGCCCAUUCUAUGAAUUUAAAAAAAAAAUGCAUUUUUAAAAAACAAAAUAAAUUAAAAUCUUUACCAGCUAUAACAAAAUUUUGGAUUUCAUCAAUAAUAAAAGUUUAUGGACUUCCAUCAAAUAUAUAUCUAAGAUGAUGGAUGGGCAAACUUGGAUAAGUUUGUGUUGAAAUUUUGAUACGACGAGACAAUGCAAAUACCGGCAUGCUUUUAAUUGUUUAAUUUUUGUAAGUAUUUGCAUAAUUAUUUAGGAGAACAUAUACAAUUUUAUUAAUUUUAUAGGAAUGGUGGGUAUGGGUGUGAAUCAAUUUGCUUCGACAAAAUCUUUAAAAUUUUCAUGGAAACAAGACGAAGUUCAACGUCAAAAUGAACGCAAUAAUAAGAACUAAACUUGCAACUUCUCUAUAUUUUUAUCUUUGUUUUCUUGAAAGGCUUAAAAUUGAUUGAUUAGCCAAGUAAACCUAAUUGAUGCUAGUGAAUGUUUGUUCAAAGUUUGACUAUACUCAUUAAGAUGCAUGUUUUUUCAUUAUACGAGAACAAUCAACACUUUCUACUUAAUUUUAUUUUAAAUUCUUAGCUUUUCAUUUGUGUGUGGGAGGAAGCAGUGGAAUAAGAACGAUAUGUGACUAUUCGUGUAUAAUCGAUCAGAUCUUUUUAAUUUCCAUGACUUGUAUUCUUUUAUGAAAAUAUAUAUAUGCAUUUUAAAAAUCCAACCAACUCGUAUAACGGAUAUAACUGCUCGAUUAAUGACUUCAAAUAUUAGUUUGUAAAUACGUUUCUUUCUUCAAAUUAGGUUUUCACCUUUUCAUAAACAAAUAUCUCUCUCAUUAAAUUUUUUUGUCAUUUUUAUAAAGUCACAAAGUUGAGUUGUUCGUUGGAUCUUGUGAGCUAGAUGUUGCUUAAUUCUAUAAGACAGAUAACCUAUAUAUCCAGUGAGUUCUUGAAACUUAGACAUUAGAGUGAGUAAAUCAAAUAAUUUAAAUCGACAAUAUUACUUAUUUUCUGUUUUACUUUCUUGACCCCAUACAUAUUACAGAUUUACAUAAAAGGAAAAAAAGAAACAAUUUAGACAAUAUAUAUAAAUAUAAAUAUGUAGUGCUCGGAUCUAAACAAUUUCAGUUUUUUUAUUAAAUUAAACAUCAAAUGGAAUAUAUUAUUUUUCAUUUGUUUCACAUCAAUCAAUUAACAAAGCUUACUUACCGAUCCACCAUUUGUGAAUAAAUUCAUCACGAUUAGCGGGGUUGUUUUUCAAAUAAAUUCCACCAUCUUUAGCAACCCAAAUACAAGUUGCUUCAGGCCCACACCUAUCACGAAGCCAAGUGUUACUCCAUGACUCAGGCCAAAAGACUUCAAAAGAGACGUAUGCAUCUGACUUCUCCAAUGUACACCAAAACAAAGUUGUUCCCCAAAAGUUUUCCUUAAAGCUCCAUUUAUAAGUAUCUCCAUGUUUAACCAAAUGAUGAUUUCCCAAAUCAUCAUUCUUUGAUUGACAAUGCACAUUCAAAUCGAGGUGACUAAGCCCGUUUAUGAUCGAAACUGACCAACUCGGGACUUGAGCCCCGACCAAAGCUGCUGUGGCAAGCCACAAAACCACCACAUUUCUUAUCAUCAUUUUCCUUUUAACCAUGGACACUUGGUUUUAUAUAUAUAUAUAUAUAUUUCUUUGUUGCUAUUGAUGUUUUGGCAUCUAUAUAUGUGGGACUAAAUAUACAUACUUAUACUUAUAGCACAGUCAAGAAAUUGAAGAAAUUGAAUGUUAGGGUUUCAAUUAUGAGAAAAAACGUUAAUCUCGUGCAUUAAAUUUUCCUCUACAGUUAUGAAAUGUUAUCAAUGCGUUAGUAACUGUCAUGGAGUUAUUAAAUACUCAAAUAUUUGGAUUCAUAUAAUAUUUUCACGUUAGUCUUUGUAUAGAAAGUAUAUAACUUCACCUAAAAUUGUGUAAAAAACACAUUAGCAUAAAAGAAUUAACACGAACUUGAUGGGUUAACAUAAAAGUUAUCCAUAAAUGUUCAUGUUUAAUAAUAAAGUUCAAGAUACACCACAAUCUAAACCUACAAAAAUAAAAAACCUAAUUGUUUUUUUAUUAAAUAAUAUAUUAUUAUUAUUAUUAUUUAUAUAUAUUAUAUUAUUUCAGGUUGGGUUGUACCGAAUUUCUCAACCCUCCAACCCGAAAAAAAAAAAAAAUAAUCCAACCCAACCCAACCCUUAUAAUAUGGGUUGAGUAGUCUCGAUUAUUCGAGUUCAACUCAUAUUCUUAGACCUUUAGCACGUGGAACGAAAAGAAAAAGAAUUAAAAAAAUCAUAAUAAUAAUAAUAUCAAUAAUAUAUUUUUCUUUUUCUUUUCCUUCCUCUUUUCCAAUAAAAUCUUUCUUUCUCCAUUUAAUAAUUUACAUCCUACCAAUCUUUUACUUUUUCCCCAAAAUAUAAAAAUGUAAUAAAUCCUAUUUUCUUUUUCUCAUUGAAUUCCAUCAACUCAUCUCUCUUUUCAUCUUUUCAAAAUCAAAACUUAAUAAUUAUAUUAUUUCCAAUAAUAUAAUUAUUUACCUUCCAUAACCUAACUAAUUAUACAUAUAUAAUUCACCAAUAUCCUUAAAUCUCACCAAAUUAAAACACCAAAAUCAUUCAAUCUUUCUCAAAUCCAUAACAAUACCAAAAAUUUCAAUUUCAAUAAUUAAAUAUUUUUCCAAUAAAUACUUAAUUAAUCUUAAUUUCCACAAAUUCAAACAAUUCUCUUCAAUUAUCUAAAAUAACACCUAAAUAAUUCCAUCAUAAAUUAAAUUCAACUAAUAUAAUUAAAUUUAAAAUCACCUUAAUUUUUGGGUAUUACCGUUAAGCUCAAUACGCUCUUUUUACGCAUUGACUGACUUCAUUUCGUCGUGCAGUCAUUUUCUAUAUGAUUGUCUUUACCCAUUAUGUGCAUAUAGUAGCUAGCUUACUGAUAGGAAUAAGAGUAAUGAUUUACUUGCAAACAUAACAUACAAUCAUGAAACUUUAACUUGAAAACAUAGCAUAACAACUUUUUUUAGGACUGGAACUUUCUUAUAAACAUUAAAGUGAAAUAUAACAUUACAAGACAUCAAAACAUAAGAAGUAAGCCUUUAAGAUCUUUAAUCAACUUUGGAAAAUCACUUACUAUAAUUCCUUUCCUUAGAACGCCUAGCUUCAAAUCUCCUCUUCUUGCCUAGUAGCAGUUCAACUGUACCACACUUAGCUUUUCCUUAGCAAAAUAUCAGACUAGCCUCCUUCUCUUCCGUCCUUUUGUCUUAUAUAUACUAUUCCCAAAUUGGAUUAGUCGUUCUUAAACUUUCAUGAGCUUACAAGCUCCUGCUUAAAGUGCUACAUGUGUAAGUUUAAUGUUUCUCUUAACCAUGCUUAAACUUAGCCUUACACGUAAACAGUUGUCAAGUCAAGAUUAGACAUUCCCUUGCUUGCUAUAUUCUUGUGUUGCAUUAAAACGCCUUCCUCCUUGCGUUAUUAAACAAGAACAGAUUCUUCUUCACGUCGACAAGCUUCAAUGCGAACAUCAAAAUGCCUACUUGUUCUCAAAAUGCUUAAAUCCUCAAAAUACUAUCCUUUAAACACAUUUUUCAAAAUCCUCCAAUCACAUCCCUUACUUCCAAAGUGACCUUUCCAAUUAAGACUCGAGUCUCAUAUUAACGUUCCUUAAUCUUACCAUCUCAAGUCCAAAAUCCGAAUCUCCUAACAGGUGUUCGUCUUUCAUUCCUUACCUUAAGCAACUAACUUCUCUACCCAAAAUCCCAUAACAUCCCAAACUUCACACUUAACUCAUUGCCAACCUUGCCAAUGCCAAUCUCAGUGCUUCUUCUAAAAACUUCACCUCGUUCUUCUCAAUUUCUCACCUCACCUUCAACUUCACCUCCUUAUCUUGGUAUUAACUCUUAAUGCAUUGAGAUAGAUGUAACAAUAAGCCUUAAUGUUGCAAUAAAUUAAAAAAGGAUAGAUGUAUAGGUUUAUCUAUGAAGCACAAACACUCUUUUAUAAAGAGAGUAACAAUGUAAGACACGAACACAUGAGGACAUGGACUUGACACAUUAGAGGGCACGCAAGAAGGGACACACUAGAGGGCACGCAAGAACGAAGACACUUGCACUUUUUAAUAGUGCAUUUGAAAGCUAUCAUAAAUAGAAAAUUGAUAAAAGAUUUACAAUUCAUACAAAGAUGAAUUGUAAUAAAUUUGGUCUAUUAUUGUUUUUUUUAAUACACAAAGUAAAUAGUCUGUUAUUUAUUUAUUUAUUUGAGAAAACCUCAUUUUUUAGUAUCGUUAAAAUAUAAUUUUAAAAAAUAAAACACACCCUUUUAUUCUUUUAACGUUCAUUCCCCAUCGUUAAAAUCAACCCCUAGCGCUCUUCACCUCUGGUCCUCUCCAAUCUUCAAGGCCCCUCCCCUCCGAUCAGACGACGCCGGCGACCGCCCCUCACCUCUCCUAUCAGACGACGUCCGCGACGUCUGCUCACCAUUUCCGAUCAGACCAGCUGCGCUCGCCCUCCGUUUUGGUUACUUGCUGUCUGGGUUUAAAGGUUUUUCCCCCCUUUUUUUUCUUGUUUGUGUAUCAAUGUUUGAGGAAUGUUUCAACUGGUCUGCAUAUAUAUAUAUAUAAAUACAUAUAUAUAUGCUUUUUUAUUCGUUACUUCAUAUUAAUUCGUAGUCCCAAUGGAGAUGUUGAAAUUUAUAUGAAUGGUGCAUUUAAUUUUUUCUAAUGUAUUUAAUGUGGAAUUUGUACAUAUAUGGUGUGGGUUUUUGGAAUAUUAUCUGGAUUUUUUGGUAUGGUUUAAUCAGAUUUGAGAGACAUGAUGUGUUCUUUGGAAAUGUGUAUCUUAAUGUUUUUGUUUUGAAAACAUUUUUUAAUGAAUUCAUUCUAUUUUUUAUACUAGAUGCCACCUUCCUUCUCAUCUACAUCUACCAAUAGUAGUGAAUCAUCCACGUUUUACAUUUUGUUUUGGAUGAAAGUGUGAUCUCUAUUUAGGAUUUUGUAUUUGUGUCGUAGUUUGGAACAUUUUAAUGAACUCAUAAAACUAAUGUACUCUUUAUUUAUGUUUUAAAGAAGUAUUGUUAUGUUCUAAUGUAUAUGAGUAAUUUAUCUACAAGUAUUAUCACAUAUAUUAUUUAAAAAAAUAAAAAAAAUUAUAACAUCCUCCUGGCUGUCUCUGCACCCCUACCUCCUUUAUCACUGAGCUCUCUUUACUUCUUUAGAAAUUUGGCGUUGUUUCGUGUGUUGGUGUCUGUACUUCCUGGAGGCUUAUGGUAUGGGGGAGUGUUAGUUUUGUCUUUCGUGUGGUAAAAUAGAAAUGAUGGCUAAGGUAUAUGGACCAAUAAACCGUAGAUAAAGAUAUAGGGCAUGUUUGAAAUAGUUAAAAUCACUUUUGACAUUUCAAAAUCAAUUUUGAUGUUAUGAAAAUUGCAUUUAAAAGUGCAAAAGAAAAUAUUAAAUUUAUUUUGAGUUAUUAAAGACCUGUUUGGAGCGAUUUCAUCACAAAAAUGAUCUUAACAUCAAAUAUUACUCCCAAACACGCUCGUAGCUUAUGAGUAACAGCAUAUUUGCAAAUGAAACCAUGUCUAUAACAGAGGUUAGUAACAUCAGUUUUGUUAGGAGAAAUGAACAUAUUUCUAAAUAACUAAUCUCUCAAGAAGCCUAAUGUUAGUCUGGGGAGAUUGAAUGAUUAUGUUUAUGUUACUUUUGAAAUUGCACUGAGGUUUGUAACGUAAGUUUAUGUUAAAUGAACAUAUUUCUAAAUAAUUCAAUCUCUAAAGGAAACCUUUUUCUGGAUACCUAUUGGUUAUAACUCCCAAAAUGAUACUUCUACAUCAGAUGAUUAGAUGUUUUUAUUUAUGAUAAAAAUAGGAUACGUCCCAAAGGCCAAUGCUAGAGAAUUCUCUCCCCAAUGAUGAUUUUGGGAUGGCUUGAAAAUUUGACUUCCAAAAGUCAUCUGAACUCUCCUUACAAGAGGUUACGAUCGAGCUUGUUCGACAAGCUACUAAAGUUACGUACACACAUAUAAAGGACAUUCUAAUUAGUAAAUAGAGGUCGUAAGAUAAUUUCCAUUAUUUGUUAUCAAAGCAAAAGCAAAAUCAUUGAUAGAGCUUUUUAUGGUUAAGUUGGAAUCAAUAUUGUUUUCGUAAUAAUUUUGGACAUUUGGAGCUAUAGAAAGGAUUCGACCCAAAAUGUGACAUACGUUUUUCUUUAAGAUCCUGCAUGCAGAUUCUCUAACAAGUCAGCAUGGGGGAAGUAAAAGAAAGCAAAACCAUGAAGAACAAGGUUGAUUUGGACAACCACGAUGACGCUUUUUGGUGGUUGAUUCAUAAAGGAGUUAAAGCUAUUUUUUUGUCCAUAUCUUUAUUUGCUUUGCUGGUUCGAUUGGCAGUCUCCCUUCAUCCUUACUCGGGUGCUGGGAACCCUCCUAAGUAUGGUGACUAUGAGGCACAGAGGCAUUGGAUGGAAAUCACCAUCAACCUUCCAGCUAAGGACUGGUACAUGAACAGUACCACAAAUGACCUCAACUAUUGGGGACUUGAUUAUCCACCCCUAACAGCCUAUCAGAGUUUCAUUCAUGGUCUUUUCCUCAAGUUAUUUGAUUCAGAUUCAGUUUCACUGUUUACUUCGCGAGGUUAUGAGUCCUAUUUUGGGUGAGUAUGAUUAUAUUUUACAUCUUUUAAUAAACCACUCUAUUUUUUUCUUCAGACUUCAUUACAUUUGAAGUUUUCUCCCUUUUGUUGGCUUCUUUGCAGAAAACUUCUAAUGAGAUGGACAGUUUUAUCCUCCGAUGUGCUGAUUUUCUUUCCUGCAGUUUUCUAUUUUGUUCUUGCAUAUUUUAGUGGUAACUCCAGGUUUCAUAAAAGUGAUAUAGCAUGGCAAAUUGCAAUCCUUCUCAUCAACCCAUGUCUCAUCUUAAUUGAUCACGGGCAUUUUCAGGUUUUUACUCGUACAUAGCUAUGUUUUCAUGCGUUUUCUCAUAUAUAUAUUUAAAAAUUUUUCUUUUAAAUUUGGAAGCAUGUUGAGUCUUCACCUUUUAUCCUUUGUCACAGUAUAACUGUAUAAGCUUAGGCCUUACUGUGGGAGCUAUUGCUGCCAUAUGUACGGAUAAAGAUCUUGUGGGCAGUUUUCUAUUUACUCUUGCUCUGAAUCAUAAGCAGGUACCUUUCAAUUGUCUCUUUCCUAAGCAUUAUAUGUUUACUUUUUGCUCAAAAUAAAUAACAUAGUCUUUUUUUUUCCGUCAGUGGCACAUAUGAUUCUGUUAAAUGGUAGAGAAGAGAACACAAUGUUUACAUGGAAAACCCUAUAACAGAAAAAAAAAAACCAUGUUUGAGUCUUCUUUUAUUUUGACCUAGCUUGAAAGUUACAAAAGAAGACAACUUUAUAGGCUCGAGCAAGCGCUAAUACGAAAAAGGAAAUAAACAUAGGGUAAAGUAAAAUACUAAAAUACCCUCAUGGCUAUAAACUAUCAACAAACACCCUUAUUUCCGUCACUCCUCCUCAAGUUGAGCGUACAUUUCAAUCA